rnacentral:rRNA from 1 species
UACGUAGGGGGCGAGCGUUGUCCGGAUUUAUUGGGCGUAAAGCGCUCGCAGGUGGUUCGUCGCGUCGUGCGUGAAAGACCCCGGCUCAACUGGGGAGGGUCGUGCGAUACGGGCGAACUGGAGGCCAGUAGGGGGAUGUGGAAUUCCGGGUGUAGUGGUGGAAUGCGUAGAGAUCCGGAGGAACACCAGCGGCGAAGGCGGCAUCCUGGACUGGUCCUGACACUCAGGAGCGAAAGCGUGGGGAGCGAUCCGG